rnacentral:rRNA from 1 species
CUGCGUUUGUGACUGUGCGACUGGAGUACGGUAGAGGGGGGUGGAAUUCCUGGUGUAGCAGUGAAAUGCGUAGAUAUCAGGAGGAACAUCGAUGGCGAAGGCAGCCCCCUGGACCUGUACUGACGCUCAUGCACGAAAGCGUGGGGAGCAAACAGGAUUAGAUACCCUGGUAGUCCACGCCCUAAACGAUGUCGACUAGUUGUUCGGGAAGGUGACUUCUUGAGUAACGUAGCUAACGCGUGAAGUCGACCGCCUGGGGAGUACGGCCGCAAGGUUAAAACUCAAAUAAAUUGACGGGA